rnacentral:rRNA from 1 species
UACGUAGGGGGCAAGCGUUGUCCGGAGUUAUUGGGCGUAAAGCGCGCGCAGGCGGCCUCGCGCGCCCGACGUGAAAGCCCCCGGCUUAACCGGGGAGGGUCGUUGGGGACGGCGGGGCUUGAGGGCGGGAGAGGUCGGUGGAAUUCCCGGUGUAGUGGUGAAAUGCGUAGAGAUCGGGAGGAACACCUGUGGCGAAGGCGGCCGACUGGGCCGACCCUGACGCUGAGGCGCGAAGGCGUGGGGAGCGAACGGG